rnacentral:rRNA from 1 species
UACAGAGGGUGCAAGCGUUGUUCGGAAUUAUUGGGCGUAAAGGGUGCGUAGGCGGGUUUUUAAGUCAGGGGUGAAAUCCUGGAGCUCAACUCCAGAACUGCCUUUGAUACUGAAGAUCUUGAGUCCGGGAGAGGUGAGUGGAACUGCGAGUGUAGAGGUGAAAUUCGUAGAUAUUCGGAAGAACACCAGUGGCGAAGGCGGCUCACUGGACUGGUAUUGACGCUGAGGUGCGAAAGCGUGGGGAGCAAACAGG